rnacentral:rRNA from 1 species
UAAUACGAGGGGGGCAAGCGUUGUUCGGAAUUAUUGGGCGUAAAGGGCGCGUAGGCGGUUUGGCAAGUCUAGUGUGAAAUCUUCGGGCUCAACUCGAAGUCUGCACUGGAAACUGCCGGGCUUGAGUAUGGGAGAGGUGAGUGGAAUUUCCGGUGUAGCGGUGAAAUGCGUAGAUAUCGGAAGGAACACCUGUGGCGAAAGCGGCUCACUGGACCAUAACUGACGCUGAGGCGCGAAAGCUAGGGGAGCAAACAGGAUUAGAUACCCUGGUAGUCCUAGCCCUAAACGAUGAUUGCUUGGUGUGUCGGGUACCCAAUCCCGUCGUGCCGAAGCUAACGCGAUAAGCAAUCCGCCUGGGGAGUACGGUCGCAAGGCUG